rnacentral:rRNA from 1 species
GGGAAAGGGGGGGGUACUAAUACAUGCAAGUCGAGCGAAUGGAUUAAGAGCUUGCUCUUAUGAAGUUAGCGGCGGACGGGUGAGUAACACGUGGGUAACCUGCCCAUAAGACUGGGAUAACUCCGGGAAACCGGGGCUAAUACCGGAUAACAUUUUGAACUGCAUGGUUCGAAAUUGAAAGGCGGCUUCGGCUGUCACUUAUGGAUGGACCCGCGUCGCAUUAGCUAGUUGGUGAGGUAACGGCUCACCAAGGCAACGAUGCGUAGCCGACCUGAGAGGGUGAUCGGCCACACUGGGACUGAGACACGGCCCAGACUCCUACGGGAGGCAGCAGUAGGGAAUCUUCCGCAAUGGACGAAAGUCUGACGGAGCAACGCCGCGUGAGUGAUGAAGGCUUUCGGGUCGUAAAACUCUGUUGUUAGGGAAGAACAAGUGCUAGUUGAAUAAGCUGGCACCUUGACGGUACCUAACCAGAAAGCCACGGCUAACUACGUGCCAGCAGCCGCGGUAAUACGUAGGUGGCAAGCGUUAUCCGGAAUUAUUGGGCGUAAAGCGCGCGCAGGUGGUUUCUUAAGUCUGAUGUGAAAGCCCACGGCUCAACCGUGGAGGGUCAUUGGAAACUGGGAGACUUGAGUGCAGAAGAGGAAAGUGGAAUUCCAUGUGUAGCGGUGAAAUGCGUAGAGAUAUGGAGGAACACCAGUGGCGAAGGCGACUUUCUGGUCUGUAACUGACACUGAGGCGCGAAAGCGUGGGGAGCAAACAGGAUUAGAUACCUU